CCGGAGUUGUGUAUCGCUGUCUCAGUGGUUCCCACUGUUUCUAACCACCAGGUGGCCACAGAGUGCAUGUGCUAUGAGGGACCCGUCCGACAUAUACCCUCCCAGAAGAGCAGGAAAGGGGGUUCAUAAAGAUGUUCUUCUGAUGGGGAGUGUCCUAUAAGGCCACCUUCACAUGAGAAAGCACCUCUUCAAAGACACACACCAGAGACUGUCUCUUCCCGGACUGCAAACUGAUCUCACCAAUAAAAUUCUACCUACUAUGUAGCCACCCUGGAGGCCUUUGAGAGGACGGUCAGAUGGUCAGAGAUAAGUUGCUCUGAAUCCUGCUCCCAGGGCCAAAAACAUCGACCUAGAAGGAAGGGGCUUAAGCACAACAUAUGAUUUAAAGAGUUUGUUUGAGCCAGUGUGAGGAUAGUUGCCCAGAAGGCUCAGAGCCAAGCAAUCUUGGAUAUGGGUUCUGUUUGGCCUUUGUUACAAGCAGGUUUGUAAAGACCAAAAAGGGAGACAGGGAGUUGGCUGGUAGAAAGUUGCUUGUCAGGAACUCCCAGUGGUUUACAGAAAUAACAUUGAUUAGGGAUUAGCUAUACAUUGUUCAGCUACAGGGAAUGAGAGAUGGUGUCCAGUGCACGUGAUUAGGUUACUUUAUAGCUAACUGUGGCAAUAGCAAGCAGUUUCAGUGGAUGAAUACAUAGCUCAAAAGUGGGGAAGUGGCCGGUGGUGGUCAUAAUUCACAUUUUGGUGGGCCAAGUUGGGCAGAUCACCUUAGGUUAGGAGUUUGAGACCAGCCUGGCCAACAUGACGAAACCCUGUAUCUACUAAAAAUACAAAAAAAAAAAAAAAAAAAUAGGGGAGCAUCGUGGUUCGCGACUUCAGUCCCAGCAACUCGGGAGGCUAUGGCAGGAGAAUUGCUUGAACCUGACUGGAGGAGGUUGCAGUGGGCCAAGAUCCUGCCACUGCACUCCAGCCUGGGCAACAGAGUGAGACUCCAUUUCAAUACAAUAAAAAAAAUUUUUUUAACUUAAAAGAUUUUAGAAAGCAGGAAGUAGGAUGUGGUUGCUGUCUCAUUUUAAUGCCUAGCUCUGGGCAUGCUAAGUUGAAAGCACUCAUUUUCUUCACAUGAAAAAGUUCUUUUCUUUUCUUUUUUUUUUUAGAGACACACUCUCACUUACUGUGCCACCCAUAAAGUGAAGUGGCAUCAUCUCUGCUCACUGCAACCUCCACCUCCAGGGAUCAAGCGAUUCUCAAGCCUCAGCCUCCCAAGUAGCUGGGAUUACAGGUGCCAGCCACCAUGCCUGGCUUAUUUUUGUAUUUUAGUAGAGAUGGGGUUUCACCAUGUUGGCCAGGCUGGUCUCGAACUCCUGACCUCAGAUGAUCCACCUGCCUCGGCCUCCCAAAGUGCUACGAUUACAGGCGUGAGCCACCAUGCCCAGCCAAUACCAUUAAUUUAAUCUACAGCUAAAUCUAUUAUUUUUUCAUGUUACAAAUUCAACAAGAAAAUUUUUCCCUAAUGAAACAUCACAUUUAAAGCAUAAGUAGAAUUAAAAAAUGUAAUAGACAGUGUCUUGCUGUGUCAUCCAGGUGAGAGUGCACUGGUGCAACCACAGCUGACCAACCUGGAACUCUGGGCUCAGGCAGUCCUCCCAGCUCAGCCCGCCUUUUAACUUCUUAGAGAUGGCAUCUUGCCCUGUUGCCCAGGCUGGUCUCCAACUCCUUGCCUAAAGCAAUCCUCCCACAUCAGCCUCCUGAUUUUCUGGGAUUACAGGUGUGAGUCAACCAGCCUGGCAUUGCAGGAAAAAAAAAAAGUCAAGAAAUUAUUCUUCAUUUUCUUUUAUUUUGAGUUGAGGUCUUACUCUGUCACCCAGGCUGGAGUGCAGUGGUACAAUUAUAGUUCACUGCAGCCUGGAUCUCCUGGGCUCAAGCGAUCCUCCUGCCUCAGCCUCCCAAGCAGCUGGGACUACCAAUGUGAGCCACUGUGCUGGCUAGUUUUUUAAAAUCAGCUCAUUUUUAAAUUUGUAGAGACAGGGGUCUCACCAUAUUUCCCAGGCUGGUAUCAAACUCCUGACUUCAAUCCUUCUUCUCUCCUCAGCUGCCUAAAAUGCUAAGAUUACAGGUGUGAGCCACCACACCCUGCUUAAUUUCCAUAUUUUAAUUUUAUAUACGUAAUUAUUACUGUCCUUAAGAUAAUUGGGGCAGUAAUCUCUUUAAAGUUUUAGAGACUUAAUUUAUCUAUUCACUCCACUGGAAGAGUAUGCCAAUUGGUUUCAUAAGAAAAUAUAUUUAUAAAUCAGAAAAUUUCUUUCCACCAAUCUAGGGGGCAUUCGAAAGCAAAUAAUUGUGUUAAGUAACAUCGUUUAAAGUGAAAACAGAUGCAAUGGUAUUUAUUAACAAGGCUUAUCAGUGAGCGAAACAAACUGAAAAAAGGAACAUCAUUAGAUCCUUGGAAAACCCUCAGUGCUGAAAAUCUGAGUGAUUCUGUGAUACCCUUUUGAGUCUGGCAGGGCAUUCUCUUUCCCCAGCAUAUAAAAGUGAGUAAAUCAUUUCUUUUCAUCCAUUUUCAUUAAGAGCUGAACUUCCUUGAUGUUCUGGAGAUUAUUAAAUUUGAUUUGUGGCCAGGCGCAGUGGCUUACGCCUGUAAUCCUAGCACUUUGGGAGGCCAAGGUGGGCAGAUCACUUGAGUUCAGGAGUUCGAGGCCAGCCUGGCCAACAUGGCCAAACGCCAUCUCUACUAAAAAUACAAAAAUUAGCCAGGCAUGGUGUCACACGCCUGUAAUCCCAGCUACUCAGGAGGCUGACGCACAAGAAUCACUUGAACCCGGGAGGCCAAGGCUGCAGUGAGCCAAGAUUGUGCCACUGCAUUCCAGCCUUGGUGACAGAGCGCGACUCUGUCUUAAGCAAAAAAAAUUUUUGAUUUGUAUAGUUGUGAGAAGUGCUUAUGUUGCUGACUCCAUUGCUUAUUUGUGAUCAUAUAAAUCUCUUUUCCCCUUUCUGUAGUGUGAUUUAAACUUAAUCCUUAAAGGACAUGUGUUUCAGCUGGUUAGAGGUUUUUAGCUACUAGAAACCUGAGUAUACGAAUCAAAGAAAACUGCUCCUUACCUGCCACAGACUUAGUUUUCUUUCUGUACUAAGAUUUCUUUCAGGUAUAGUAAUUUGUUAAAGCCAAGAGCUCCUAUGGAAUGAAGUUAGGUGGCGGGAGUGGGUGGGGCAUUGAGUAGUAAGAUCGUCCUUAUAAUAGAGAUGCCGCUCUUGCAGAUAUUGACAGCUAUCGGGCCCAAAAAAUUGUUACCAAACAUUGGAAAGACAAGAUAUGAGCAAAUUCUGAUUGCUGCAGUCUCAAAUAUCAAGAAAUACCAUUAUCCUCAGGACAAUGAAUAGACAAUCAAAAAAGACUCACAGACUAGAUUAGCUGUCAUGUAUCACCAAACACCUUGUCAAACACCACCCAACAGAGAUUGUCCCCAGAAAUUCAUUUCAUAACAUCAAAACCAGAAACCCACACUGAUGCCACUGAUGGCAGAAAACAAUGAUGCAAGAAAGAGAGAGAGGGAGAUAGAGAAAGGAAGGACUUGCCCAAUGACCAUACUUAGUAUAUAAAAGCAAAACAGCUCAAUUUCUGCUCAUGAGAACAAGAACUGAGGGAACAAGAACCAGUGGCUCUAAGGAUCCAGGUCUGCACCAGGGGCCUGUUAGGUGCAGGAUUCUGUUGGCUCCAAUGAUGGGUGUCAGAUGGAUUAAUUUUUAUGGACAUAGCCUCUGAAAGAAAUCAGUCGAGGAAUAAUACAGAGACACUUGUCUGCAUGCUCAUUCUCCAUCAAUAUAGAAGAGGAACUGGCAUUAGAUUGUGUUCAUCAAAUAAAAGUAAAAUCAACAUUUAUAAAGAAAAGAGGAAAGGGGAGGAGAAAAAAAUGACUGGGACCAUUGUGAUUUUGCUCCCUUUGGAUAAGCAACUUGGCAGAAAGCUAUCAAAGAGGUCACUAUGACCUGUCUUCUCCGGACCAGUGUGACUUGGUCACCACAGCAAACAAUUACAGGCUGGGCACAGUGGCUCAUGCCUGUAAUAUCGACACUUUGGGAGGCGGCGUGGGCGGAUCACUUGAGCUCGCAAGUUGGAGAGUAGCCUGGGCAACAUGAUGUAACUCUGUCUGUACAAAAAAUACAAAAUUUAGCCAGGCAUGGUGGUGUAUGCUAGUAGUCCCAGCUACUCAGGAGGCUGAGGUGGGAGGAUCACCUGAGCCUGGGAAGGUUCAGGCUUCAGUGAACCAUGAUUACACCACUGCACUCCAGCCUGGAUGACAGAGUAAGACCAUGUCUCUAAAAUAAAUUAAGUUUGAAAAAGAAACAGGGCCAGGCACGGUGGCUCACACAUAUAAUCCCAGCACUCUGGGAGGCCAAGAUGGGAGUAUCACUUGAGCUCAGGAGUUCGAGACCAGCCUGGGCAACAUAGUGAGACCUCAUCUCUAAA
rnacentral:lncRNA from 1 species